rnacentral:rRNA from 1 species
AAACUAGGAUUAGAUACCCUAUUAUUUUAGAGGUAAACAUUGUUAGUAAAUAAAAAUUACGAAAGCAAAAAAUUAUGGCGGUAUUUUAAGCUUUUCAGAGGAAUUUGCUCUUUAAUGGAUAAAACACCUAAAUCUUACUUAAAUUUGUUAAUUCAAUUUGUAUACCACUAUAAAAACAAUUAAUAACUUCAAUUGUUAAAAUUUAUUAAAUUAAGUUAUAUUAAGUCAAGGUGCAGUAAAAAUUUAAGAAUGAAGUGAAUUACAUUUCUUUUUAGAGAGAGAAAUUUAAAUAACAUUUAGAAUUUGAAAGUAAAAUUGAAAUAGAAUGUCAAUUUGAAUUAAGCUCUAAAAUAUGUACAUAUCGCCCGUCACUCUUUAUUAAGAUAAGUCGUUACAUAG